GCCUGGGUGGCUCAGUUGGUUGAGCAUCUGACUCUUGAUUUUGGCUCAGGUCAUGACACCAGGGUCAUGGGAUCAAGCCCCAUGUUGGGCU
rnacentral:tRNA from 1 species